rnacentral:rRNA from 1 species
GAUGAACGCUGGCGGCGUGCCUAAUACAUGCAAGUCGAGCGAACAGACGAGGAGCUUGCUCCUCUGACGUUAGCGGCGGACGGGUGAGUAACACGUGGAUAACCUACCUAUAAGACUGGGAUAACUUCGGGAAACCGGAGCUAAUACCGGAUAAUAUAUUGAACCGCAUGGUUCAAUAGUGAAAGACGGUUUUGCUGUCACUUAUAGAUGGAUCCGCGCCGCAUUAGCUAGUUGGUAAGGUAACGGCUUACCAAGGCGACGAUGCGUAGCCGACCUGAGAGGGUGAUCGGCCGCACUGGAACUGAGACACGGUCCAGACUCCUACGGGAGGCAGCAGUAGGGAAUCUUCCGCAAUGGGCGAAAGCCUGACGGAGCAACGCCGCGUGAGUGAUGAAGGUCUUCGGAUCGUAAAACUCUGUUAUUAGGGAAGAACAAAUGUGUAAGUAACUAUGCACGCCUUGACGGUACCUAAUCAGAAAGCCACGGCUAACUACGUG